rnacentral:rRNA from 1 species
AAUAGAUACCCGGGUAGUCCACGCCGUAAACGAUGGAUGCUAGCCGUCGGCAAGCUUGCUUGUCGGUGGCGCAGCUAACGCAUUAAGCAUCCCGCCUGAGGAGUACGGCCGCAAGGUUAAAACUCAAAGGAAUUGACGGGGGGCCCGCACAAGCGGUGGAGCAUGUGGUUUAAUUCGACGCAACGCGAAGAACCUUACCAGCUCUUGACAUGUCAGGUCGGUUUCCAGAGAUGGAUUCCUCCCAGCAAUGGGCCUGAACACAGGUGCUGCAUGGCUGUCGUCAGCUCGUGUCGUGAGAUGUUGGGUUAAGUCCCGCAACGAGCGCAACCCUCGCCAUUAGUUGCCAGCAUUUAGUUGGGCACUCUAGUGGGACUGCCGGUGAUAAGCCGGAGGAAGGUGGGAUGACGUCAAGUCAUCAUGGCCCGUUAUGGGCUGGGCUACACACGUGCUACAAUGGCGGUGACAGUGGGCAGCUACUCAGCAAUGAGGUGCUAAUCCCAAAAAACCGUCG